rnacentral:lncRNA from 1 species
AGGACAAACAAGUUUUAUUUACUGCAAAACAAAACUCUCAGAAUUGUGCUUCGUGUCUUUUUUUGUUGGGAUAUACAAGUUCCCGGCCAUGUCCAUUCUUUGUAUUAUUUCUAUUUGUAUCUAUCUGAUGAGUUAAGGCUUUUUCAAUUGAUUUCUAUAGUUCAUUUUUAUGUUGUAAUGUUACACCACUGUCCAAGGUAGGGAGAGGGUUAGGAUCCCGCUAACAUGUUUAACCCCACCACAUUCUAAAUGUAUGUGCAUGCCAACUGUUAGGAGCCUGUUUUUGUGGUUGUCGUUUGUUGAUGUGUUAAAUUUAGUCCUGGUAUCUAUGAUGAGUUUAUUUACAUAUUUGUUUUUCGUUCACUUUUUGUUCAUUAAUAAGUUCGUCAGUUUUCUCGUUUGAAUUGUUUUACAUUUAUCAUUUCGGGGUCUUUUACAGUGGACUAGCCAGUAUAGGCUUUGCUUACUGUUGAAGGCCGUACGGUA